UUUCCAAAUCAAUCGCAGGCACAUUGCACUGUAAGUCGAUACAUUUGUGCGCCAGUGCCUUCAUCCGUUUUUAAACCGGAAAUAAAAAGUUCCAUCCGCAGUGAAAGGCGCUUGAAAUAUGUGUGAAACGUGUGUGCCAAGUACUCAGUACCCAGCACCCAGUACUUGGAACUCCGAGCUCCGAGCUCAGUUCAGUGCCCAAGGAAUCCGAUACUUAUCGGGUGUCGACGUCGCCAUCGAAUUGGGAUUGUUCGGUUCGAUCCUACAACAAAUGGCGAAUCACUUAACACACCGUUAACACCCACAUUAGUUGUACUCCGGCGCACGUGAGGAUGGGGGCAGCCUGGCAACCGCCUGGCUGCGUUCCACUUACAGCCGGAGUUUCAAUUACUUUUCGACGAGCCACCACCGAAAUGAUUAUAUGCCAAGGAAGUCGGCGUCUCAUAAUCGAAUUAAAUGCAUUGCCAGUUACCAGUUGCCAGUUGCCAGUUGGUCGGGGUUGGCAUAACCCGGCUGGAGUCGAAAAAGUCAUUAAAAACGCAGGCCAAACGAUUGCACGCAAAUUUGCUGGUCCCGGUCGCUGUCUUUGUUCCUGGUUCGAGUCCCCCGCCGCCCAAGCAGCAGUUGCUAGUGGUUCAGCACAGCCGCGGGCAGCAGACUAGCAGCUGAUCAAUUCAGUAGCUUAAUUGGCUUGUCAUAAAAUCGUUGGGAAGGUGUAUUUGCGGUAUAGUACUUAUUUCGGUGCUAGUUGUUUGCCCGCCAUCGUACCCAUCACCCGUUUGCUGGCACACAUGAGCUGGCCGAACUAUGAAUGGAAUUGGCAAUGGAAUCGCACGUGGCGAUUCUCUGGUCACCCGCGAUAAGCAACUGCCGUCGCGUGGCUCCGCUGCCCGGAUUCUGCCCCCGACCCACCCGGAUCGCUCCGGAGCAGAGAUACUAUCGAUGAAUGGACGGAUGAAUGAGGACACUUUGGAAUGCGAGGGGCAUAUACAUAUAUGUCUGUAUGACAAGCGAGACACCCUGUAGUGCCAAUCCUUUGGAUAAUGAUUGGACCUGGGAACGGCCAAAAUAAAAGGUGACCAAUGAAUUCCUUAGCAAGUAUAUCCACUAACGCCCGUUUCAUGUUUUAUGAGCUGGAUCUGGAAAACUGAAGCGGACAGAUGGAUUGUAUCCAUCUACAUGGCAACUGAGAAAGGAACUCCCCAAGGAUCUCAGGAUAUUAAAGAUAUAAGCCUUAGCUCGAAUCUGAGCUGAAUUUAUCGUUCCAUUCUGGCAUUGAUCCAUUAAUACAUUAAUAUUUGACCUCAAACUGACCGAGGGAAAUAUAUGUACAUAUGUACUGUGCUUUUCACACUCCCACACACAUUGGAAAUUACCCACCAAGCAUAAAUAUUCAUACGAGUUGACUUCGUGAUCGACUGGACUGGAAAAUGGCAGUCGAGCUUAGCAAAUCACAAAUUUAUGACCCAAUCCAUCAAUGACAAUGCGACGGGCGACUUUAAAAGGGACCUUCCCUCGCACCACCGAACCCAAUUAUACCACACCACACCAAGCCACCGCACCACUCUCUAAUCGCUUCCCACGAUCGUCGCGGUGCAGCUAGCAUUUCCAUAUGUAAAGUUGCGCCUUCAUUAAUCCGUAAAUUAGAAGCAUUGAAUGAUAUCAGUCGCCCUCUGAAGUGCACCCUCUUGCCAGUUCCACUCGGAAACCCAGUGCCCAAUGCCCAAUGCCAAUCCCAAUCCCAAUCCCAGUCCCCUAAAACAAAUCACUGCACACGGGGUUCGGGCCGAGCUACCAAGGGCAGACCUCGAAAUCCUAGCCCAACACAGUCCACUGCAAUCCCACCACCGUGCUGCACAGUGGGACAAUAUGUAUUUGCUAUUGAUAUAGCUAAAGAUAGACGUAGAUAAAGCCGAGUGUAUCAGUUGUGCGGGUAUUAUUCGAAAAAUAAAAAUUCAUUUAAUUUCAACAGGGUUUUAGUGCACUUAAUUUUGUUUAUUAAAUAAAAUA